AACCCCUACUCAUUUAGUUGCCAUCAGGUCAAGCUGGGGACUCUAAUGAAACUGCCUACGCAAGUAGUGAGGAAGGUGGGAUGACGUCAAAUCAGCACGGCCCUUACGUCCAGGGCUACACACGUGCUACAAUGGCCGAUACAGAGGGCAGCUACCUGGUGACAGGAUGCAAAUCUCCAAAGUCGGUCUCAGUUCGGAUCGGAGUCUGCAACCCGACUCCGUGAAGUUGGAUUCGCUAGUAAUCGCGCAUCAGCCAUGGCGCGGUGAAUACGUUCCCGGGCCUU
rnacentral:rRNA from 1 species